rnacentral:rRNA from 1 species
GACGAACGCUGGCGGCGUGCUUAACACAUGCAAGUCGAACGGAAAGGCCUGCUUUCCCUUGUGGUUUGCGGGUACUCGAGUGGCUAACGGGUGAGUAACACGUGAGUGAUCUGCCCCCAACUUGGGUAUAAGCCUGGGAAACUGGGUCUAAUUCCCGAUAGGACUGCAGGGUGGUGCCUGUGGUGGAAAACGAUUUUCUAGUGGUUGGGGAUGAGCUCGCGGCCUAUUAGCUUGUUGGCGGGGUAAUGGCCUACCAAGGCGGCGACGGGUAGCCGGCCUGAGAGGGUGGACGGUCACAUUGGGACAGGGUUGCGGCCCAGACUCGUGCGGGAGGCAGCGGUGGGGAAAAGUGGACAAAGGGCGGAAGCCUGACGCAGCGACGCCGCGUGGAAGAUGACGGGCUUCGGAUGGUAAUCUCCUUUCGACCGCGAGGAAGCCGCCUGGUUGGAAGGGUGGUGACGGUAGUGGUAGAAGAAGCACCGGCUAACUACGUG